rnacentral:sRNA from 1 species
CCUUUCUUCAAAUUAAACCUCUUCUUCUUAGUCAUGAUCGUCGUCUUGUGAGUUCCGUACUCCGCCUUCUGAACCAAGACAAACUCUUUCCUGCACUCUCCGUCCUCGUUUCCUCCUCCCAAAUCGUCAUCGUCAUCCAGAUCUUCCCUCUUUCUCUUCUGUCCCUUCUCGUUUUGCUUUCUGCAAAUCUUAGACUUGUAAGACAUGGCUAUCGUGCCGUUCAAACCCGAGUCGAUCGUGAUGCUGUUGUUGUUUUCGCAAUCCAUGUCUAAGAUCGUGUACAUUUUCCCGUGGGGGUUGUUCAGCUGACAGUGCGCCUCGUUGAUCCUGUUUACGAUAAUAAACUCGUGAGUUCCUCUGGUCCCGUUUAUGUUGCAGUUGUUCGGUUUUUCAAGAGCGUAAGCGUUGUAAUUGGCGGUGUAAUCAGCUCGCUUGUAAGCCACACGAGUUGCGGGCACCGGUCCAAACUUCGUCUUGUGAACUGGAAAGGACGGGUUUACUUUCAUCACCUCUCUCAUCUCGCCCGUGGCAGUUCUUAUUCUCUUGAUCUUGUGAGUCUCACACCCGUCCAAAGAGUUUGCCGUGUUGAGCUUUGCCAUGAAAGCAUCGCUGUAAGGGGCCGUCAUCACCUUAAUCUUGUCAAAGGUCAUAACGGGCGCGCUUACUUCAUCGCUAGUAUCAUUCUCCUCGUCGAAUCUCAUCGGGUGUUUCUCCGCCCUCGUAAUCGGAUCUUCGAUAACAUCUCCCUCGUCAUUGACCAGAUCUUCGUCGUCAUUCUUCACUCUCCCGUGUUCCCACCUUCUCUUCUCCUUGUCGAAGAUGACUUCGCUCACAACGUGAUGAUUGUUACCCCUCUGCAUGCAUCUCGUGUACAGCUGGCUCGCGAUAUGUUCAGACCAGGGAUCGUGAGCAAGCCUGUGUCUGUGAGAAACGAAGUAGUGUCCGUUACGACUGUAUCUGUGAAACUUGCUAGCGGCCUUCACGUUGUCUAACAGGGAAACCUUAUCGUCGUAAGAAAAGUAUCUAGGAGGCGGUGCUUUAGGCGGUGAAGGCGGUUCGUCUUCAAAGAUGGAAGAGAGCUCUUGUAUCAUUUUAUUCACCUCGUCAUCUUUAGGUUGGGAUACGGAUGUACCGCACACUUCUUCUAAAAAGGAAUCUCCGAACGACAGAUCUUGGGUAGUAGGAGGAGGAGGAGGAGGAGGGGGUUGUACAGGCGUUGGUAAAGACAACCCGCACACCUCUUCCAAAAAAGAAUCAGUAUCCAUAGGUUCGACAUAGCUACCAACAUCUUCAAACCAAUCCGAAAAGUCAAAUUCGUCCAUGUUCUCGCUUUGACGUUCGGGGUCUAAAUGAGGUUGAACGGGAUAAGACAACACUCUUAUACCUUUUGUGACAGAAAAUAAGACAUGAUUUCAGUUACAUAUUUUUUUUUUUAUUUUUUUUUUCAAACAAGACAAGGGGCGAUUACAUCUCGCCUAUAAUCUCACUGCUUCUCGUGGUUUGUCUGGUCUUGAUUCAUGCGUUCUAUUAUACGUUCCAUGUUGAACUUGUUAGCUUCCCUUCUUUUCUCCAAUUUGAUCUUCUCUGCCGAUAGUUCAGCACACUCUUUCUUAAAGAGUGCUACGUCGGUUUCUUGUUGGGCUUUGAGUUCUUCAAUCUUACGUUCAUGAAUUUCCAGGAGGGUUUGUUUGCAAACCACUUCAGCCUCCAUAGCCUUAGCUUCAGCCUCCAUCCUAAGCAAGUGCUCGUGAGAUCCUUCUGUCUUCACCUCCGCGAGCCUCAUCUUCGCGUCCACCACUUUUAGUCUCAUGACGAUGCAUUCGUCCAGUUCUGCUUCCAUCUGCCUCAUCUUAUUCUCUUCUCCUUGUACUGCUGCAUAUUUAUCCAUAAAUCUCUUCAGCUCGAUGUUACUGCUUGCCAUGAUGACGUUAGAUUCUUCUCGUAGGGUUUGUGUAAAAAAGAUGUGUCGUCCUCGCGAGUUCAGAAAUUCUGAUAACGUGUAAAGCUCCUUGGUCCCUUUUAUUCUUUUACCCGUACGUGUCCUUCCUUCUAACACACCCUUCCUUCUCACACGUCCUUCCUUCUCAUACAAGCCCUUGUCUACCACUCAUCGUCUACCAUGUCCUUGAUCAUCUCUUCUUCUCCCAACACACGUCCUAUGUAACCGCAGGCACCACACCUCAAAACCGGAUUACCGGAGCCGGAAAGAAGCACCGUCUCUGGACUCGUACAUCGGUCACAGAGAACGAAAUUCGCUAUGUAUACGUCGAUCAAUUCUUGAACCUUCAAUCGAGAAACCGAACCUCCGAUCAAAUUGUUCUGCGCGCAAACCCCAACCCCCAAAACGCACCCCAAAAACUUUACGAUGUGUUCCUUCUUCCUGUUCAAGGCCUUGGCCACCGCGCGCACGUUAACCAACUUGGUCAAGGAACCUCCUUCUAUCCUCGUCUCAAUCUCGGGCAUCUUGUGUCUGUAAGCCGUGGUGUUAACGUGAGGAUGUACGUUGAUCUCCAUGAUUAUAAAGAGUUCUCAUCCUACAAACUUCAUUCGCUCCAACAUGUCUGAUAGAAACAACACCUACGUUUCUGAAGAGAUAAACCCCUUCGAGGUCUUGCAGUGCAUAACGAUCCAGCGACUAUACUACCCGCGUAACCACCCCUCGGUGAAAGCUUUGAAAGACUUACUCCUCGAAACAACGGAGUUUCACUUGAGGAGCCUGAACGAGUUCGUGGUCGAUCCGAUAGGACCCUUGUCCGACGUAGAAGAAGACGAGCUCCAGUAGAAACCCUCUACACCAUGCUCGGAACCUGCCCCUGCACCUCCGAUCCCCUCAUAACCUCCCUCACCAUCGAGAACCUCACCCUCCUGAACGCCUCCUCGUCAAAUCUGUCUUCUUAAAAAAGGGAAGCGAGAAAGAGCCCGAAAGAAAAAGGCGAUAAAGCGGUGUGAGACACGGAAGACGUAGCGGUACUCGAAAAAACGGAGCUCGCGGGGUUUUUCAACCCCCAAAAAGCAGGAACUCUUCCCACCCAAAAAAAGCGUGAUUUUUCAAACCAAACGCUCACGAGUUUUUCCAAUAAUAAACCUCUUAUAAAAAACUUCACUCUUCUCUCUCUCUUUU